rnacentral:ncRNA from 1 species
UUCUUCGGGGCAGGGUGAUGCUAACAUAGCAGAUUCCCGACCGACGGUGAUUCGAACAGGCUGUAAAUAGCCUGCGAAAGUCCGUGACCCGCAUAAAGCGGCUGAUCCGGUGCGAUUCCGGAACCGACAGUAUAGUCUGGAUGAGAGAAGAUG